rnacentral:rRNA from 1 species
CCUACGGGUGGCAGCAGUGAGGAAUAUUGGUCAAUGGGCGUAAGCCUGAACCAGCCAAGUCGCGUGAGGGAUGAAGGUUCUAUGGAUCGUAAACCUCUUUUAUAAGGGAAUAAAGUGCGGGACGUGUCCCGUUUUGUAUGUACCUUAUGAAUAAGGAUCGGCUAACUCCGUGCCAGCAGCCGCGGUAAUAAGGAGGAUCCGAGCGUUAUCCGGAUUUAUUGGGUUUAAAGGGUGCGUAGGCGGCCUUUUAAGUCAGCGGUGAAAGUCUGUGGCUCAACCAUGAGAGUGCGGCGCGAACUGGAGACCUUGAGUGCGCGGAAGGCAGGCGGAAUUCGUGGUGUAGCGGUGAAAUGCUUAGAUAUCACGAAGAACCCCGAUUGCGAAGGCAGCCUGCCGCAGCGUUACUGACGCUGAAGCUCGAAAGCGCGGGUAUCGAACAGGAUUAGAUACCCCAGUAGUC